rnacentral:rRNA from 1 species
CUACGGGAGGCAGCAGUGGGGAAUAUUGCACAAUGGGCGGAAGCCUGAUGCAGCAACGCCGCGUGCGGGAUGACGGCCUUCGGGUUGUAAACCGCUUUCGCCUGUGACGAAGCGUGAGUGACGGUAAUGGGUAAAGAAGCACCGGCUAACUACGUGCCAGCAGCCGCGGUGAUACGUAGGGUGCGAGCGUUGUCCGGAUUUAUUGGGCGUAAAGGGCUCGCAGGUGGUUGAUCGCGUCGGAAGUGUAAUCUUGGGGCUUAACCCUGAGCGUGCUUUCGAUACGGGUUGACUUGAGGAAGGUAGGGGAGAAUGGAAUUCCUGGUGGAGCGGUGGAAUGCGCAGAUAUCAGGAGGAACACCAGUGGCGAAGGCGGUUCUCCGGGCCUUUCCUGACGCUGAGGAGCGAAAGCGUGGGGAGCGAACAGGCUUAGAUACCCUGGUAGUCCACGCUGUAAACGGUGGGUACUAGGUGUGGGGUCCAUUCCACGGGUUCCGUGCCGUAGCUAACGCUUUAAGUACCCCGCCUGGGGAGUACGGCCGCAAGGCUAAAACUCAAAGGAAUUGACGGGGCCCCGCACAAGCGGCGGAGCAUGCGGAUUAAUUCGAUGCAACGCGUAGAACCUUACCUGGGUUUGACAUGGAUCGGGAGUGCUCAGAGAUGGGUGUGCCUCUUUUGGGGUCGGUUCACAGGUGGUGCAUGGCUGUCGUCAGCUCGUGUCGUGAGAUGUUGGGUUAAGUCCCGCAACGAGCGCAACCCUUGUUCACUGUUGCCAGCACGUUAUGGUGGGGACUCAGUGGAGACCGCCGGGGUCAACUCGGAGGAAGGUGGGGAUGACGUCAAGUCAUCAUGCCCCUUAUGUCCAGGGCUUCACGCAUGCUACAAUGGCUGGUACAGAGAGUGGCGAGCCUGUGAGGGUGAGCGAAUCUCGGAAAGCCGGUCUCAGUUCGGAUUGGGGUCUGCAACUCCACCUCAUGAAGUCGGAGUCGCUAGUAAUCGCAGAUCAGCAACGCUGCGGUGAAUACGUUCCCGGGCCUUGUACACACCGCCAUCCAUAU